CACAGGCUUUGCUCUAAAACACCACGCCCAUCCCUAUAACUUCUCAUCCAAACUCAGCUACUGGGUGAAGGGGAGCGCUAUUGAUAAUAGGUAGAACUGAGGAGUAAACUGGAACUGUACUGGGCAAACCAUGACAUGUGUCACCUUGCCAACUGAUAUGAGAAGAUCAACACAUUACAGAUGAGAAUGCUGAGUCUUGGAGAAGAAAAAUUAUGGAUGCAAGCUUACCCAGCCAAGACGGAGAGCACCUGAACACAGAGCCUGUCCUUGGUGUCAGGGGCUGCCUCUCCCCAGUUUCCGUAAGCCUAUGCUACACGUUUCCAGGAAUCUGUUCACACCACAGGCACUGUUUGAGCACUAACUGUAGUAAAGCACUCUGCGGGAUGAUCAGUCACAAAAUAGGAAACAACCACAAGGAGACGGCUCCCAAACUUACCAGCGUUGACCAUGUGUGGACUUUGAACUAGGUAUUCUCCCUUCUUUCGCACAAAACUAUGAGUUUUGGCGCCCCCUGUAGGCAUGGAUGACAGUCAUCGCCCACCAGCCUAGCACUAGAGAACCCACUGGUGUCUCAGCUCCACUCCCCUCUGCCCUUCCCCACCUUGCCAAGGAAAAAGGAGCGGAUGACAUUAAAA